rnacentral:rRNA from 1 species
CAGCCGCCGCGGGAAAACGAAGGGGGCUAGCGUUGUUCGGAAUCACUGGGCGUAAAGGGUGCGUAGGCGGAUUCUUAAGUCAGGGGUGAAAUCCCGAGGCUCAACCUCGGAACUGCCUUUGAUACUGGGGAUCUUGAGUCCGGAAGAGGUGAGUGGAACUGCGAGUGUAGAGGUGAAAUCCGUAGAUAUUCGCAAGAACACCGGUGGCGAAGGCGGCUCACUGGUCCGGAACUGACGCUGAGGUACGACAGCGUGGGGAGCAAACAGGAUUAGAUACCCCUGUAGUCCCUGUCUCUUAUAC